CCAUACAACUCCUGUCCAACGCUGCCUGGAGUGAAACUUAUCAGCUGCCUCAUGGCUGCCUGAGGGAAAUGAGUUUAUAACGACUAAAACGAACAGAAGACCAGCCCACUCACUCACCUCCUCUCGCCUGUGUUUCUCAGCUUUACUGACGUUGUCCAGCGGGGCGAUGUCUCCCACGAUGCACUCGGCCAUGUCAUGGACUAGAGACAGCUUCAUGCACCUGAAGUCAGGCAAUAGGAGGGCAGCCCGUGUCCAAAGAGACAGCUGACUGCGUGAAAGAGCUCACCUGUCCUUGUCCACCGUGGGGUCAGUGAUGGUGAGAGACAUGAGGGCCAUGCGGUACAUGUGGUCUGACACACUCUCUGGCUCCUUCACCUCUCUGUACACCCAGCCUGUCCGAGGAACCCUCUGCGGAAGUAAAGAAAGAAGAACGAAAAGAGCUAUCGAUUUGCAGGAGCUUUUGUGGAGCAUCAGUGUGCUGAAGAACGCUGCUGUGAGAAGAGGACGGACUCUUAAAUGUAUUUACGGAGGAGUAUGAAGCCGGACUCGAAGCAGCGACCUCAGAUGCUUACUACUCUGACUUUGUUGGAUAAAUGUGGAAAAACCGGAGGCAUUACACGAGUGGAACGAAGCUUAAAUGGACCAAAAAAAAUCGCCUGACCCUCAUGAGUUCAUCAUUUACAGAGAGGACAACGUUCUGACUGUUGGACAUUGCGGACAAAAGCCUGACUUUUUAUGAACAACUCUGUACACUUUAUUUUUUAAAUCGUAUCGUUUUUGUAAAUUAUUGCUUUGUAUUUCAAUUACAUUUUUGUGUAAUAAAUCUGACCUAAUAUUGUGUUUAUUUACGAGGUAUCAGUAUAGAAAUAUAGUAAACCACUCCUCCACGUCAUCAGCCUGAUUUUUAUAAAC